ensembl:misc_RNA
UAGAUGUCCCAGGAUAUUAUCUCGUCUUCUUUCUCCACAGACUAGGAAUAGUACAGGCAAUGGCCAUGUGCACUUAUCCCACAACAGGCUAGACUUCAACCCUGUACUGAAGAAGCCACCCCCAGUGAUGAGAGGGAGCUUGUUCUUCAUGGCAACUUCAUUCUUGGCUUUU